GGAAUAUUGGACAAUGGGCGAAAGCCUGAUCCAGCAAUGCCGCGUGAGUGAUGAAGGCCCUAGGGUUGUAAAGCUCUUUUACCCGAGAUGAUAAUGACAGUAUCGGGAGAAUAAGCCCCGGCUGACUCCGUGCCAGCAGCCGCGGUAAUACGGAGGGAGCUAGCGUUGUUCGGAAUUACUGGGCGUAAAGCGCACGUAGUCGGCUUUGUAAGUUAGAGGUGAAAGCCCGGAGCUCAACUCCGGAAUUGCCUUUAAGACUGCAUCGCUUGAACAUCGGAGAGGUAAGUGGAAUUCCGAGUGUAGAGGUGAAAUUCGUAGAUAUUCGGAAGAACACCAGUGGCGAAGGCGACUUACUGGACGAUUGUUGACGCUGAGGUGCGAAAGCGUGGGGAGCAA
rnacentral:rRNA from 1 species